UCCCCAGUGCCCAUAAUACGGUCCCCUGAGCAAAUGAAGGCUCAGAAGAAUGAGGAACUUGUACCGGCUGCUUCAGGGAGGUCAGUCCAGGGCAGCUGUCUUUUGCCCCAGAAGAUUGCUAGUGACUUUUGGAGCCCAAAUUGGUCAGAUUGCCUGAGGAGGUAGACUCGGGCCAUCCUGAGAUGCCCAGCAGGCUGUUGCCACAUACCCUUUUGUGCCCAAAGCAGGUAUUACAUUCUGACCUGUAUUGUUUUUAAAACACCAACCCGCACGUUGGCUAAGGUCAACCUUGCAAAUCACCCUGAGUUCGACUCAUACCAGUGAUGGAAGCAGGGCAAACCACAUCUCUGGCUCAGCAUAGCUGUGUGCCUCUGCAUGAGGAGCACGCCCUUUCCGAUCUCAGAAUCCUUACUUGAUGAGGAGACAGUGAGUCAGACCUUGCAAAGAGGGAAGCACUGAAGACGCUACAUGUGAACGCGGCGCACAGAACCGGGGAGAUGGCAGAUGCUCAACCCGUAGCCGCGGACUUGGACCUGUUGGUCUAGAUUCCAAUUUGAUGCUUGUGAAGAAAAGCUAGGCCCAGUGGCCUGAGUGAGAACAACACAGUCCUUUGAGAGCAACAUGGCCGCUGCCAGUCACCUAGGACAAUUUGUGACAAAGUGGGAGCCACCUGGAAGAACCAUGCCAUGGAUGUCACACACGUCCCAGUGUGAGGGCAGAUCAAGAGACGCCUGCAUUAGCUGCCACUCACACCAGCUAGGAUGAGUUCUACUGCCCAGUUCCUGAAAUGGAGUGCCUGAUGCAAAAAAUGGAAACUUCAUAUGGUCAAGUUGCGGGCAGAAAGUUACCAUAGCUGGCUGGGCCUUGGAUGAGAAGGAUGCUGGUAAAAAAUGAGUUUUCUGGAUUUCUGUCCUGGGGUAGUAGGAUUCGUAAAUCUGGGGACAUUUUUAAAUAGCAAGGAGAAAAAUGCAGAGCACUACCACCUACAAGGAGUAGACCUUGGAAACCACAGAUAACACCAAAACCUAUUUUUGUUCCUAUUUACAUACAUCCAUGGCUAAGUUUUUUAGUUCAUAAAGAACAGUAAGAGACAAACAACAGUGGGUAAUAAUAAAAUACAACCACAGUCA